ACCCGCACAAGCGGUGGAUGAUGUGGAUUAAUUCGAUGCAACGCGAAGAACCUUACUACCCUUGACAUGUCCGGAACUUGCCAGAGAUGGCUUGGUGCCCGAAAGGGAAUCGGAACACAGGUGCUGCAUGGCUGUCGUCAGCUCGUGUCGUGAGAUGUUGGGUUAAGUCCCGCAACGAGCGCAACCCUUAUCAUUAGUUGCUACGCAAGGGCACUCUAAUGAGACUGCCGGUGACAAACCGGAGGAAGGUGGGGAUGACGUCAAGUCCUCAUGGCCCUUAUGGGUAGGGCUUCACACGUCAUACAAUGGUCGGUACAGAGGGUUGCCAAGCCGCGAGGCGGAGCCAAUCCCACAAAGCCGAUCGUAGUCCGGAUUGUUCUCUGCAACUCGAGAGCAUGAAGUCGGAAUCGCUAGUAAUCGCAGGUCAGCAUACUGCGGUGAAUACGUUCCCGGGCCUU
rnacentral:rRNA from 1 species